AUUGAACGCUGGCGGCAGGCCUAACACAUGCAAGUCGAGCGGAGCGGCUGACGGGUGAGUAAUGCCUAGGAAUCUGCCUGGUAGUGGUGGAUAACGUCCGCAAACGGGCGCUAAUACCGCAUACUAUCAGAUGAGCCUAGGUCGGAUUAGCUCGUUGGGGGGGUAAAGGCCUACCAAGGCGACGAUCGGUAACUGGUCUGAGAGGAUGAUCAGUCACACUGGAACUGAGACACGGUCCAGACGCCGACGGGAGGCAGCAGAGGGGAAUAUGGGACAAUGGGCGAAAGCCGGGAGCAGCCAUGCCGGGGAUGUGAAGAAGGUCUUCGGAUUGUAAAGCACUUUAAGUUGGGAGGCGGUACCAACAGAAUAAGCACCGGCUAACUUCGUGCCAGCAGCCGCGGUAAUAC
rnacentral:rRNA from 1 species